AGAUUAAGUUAUUAAGGGCGCACGGUGGAUGCCUUGGCACUAGAAGCCGAUGAAGGACGUUACUAACGACGAUAUGCUUUGGGGAGCUGUAAGUAAGCUUUGAUCCAGAGAUUUCCGAAUGGGGAAACCCAGCAUGAGUUAUGUCAUGUUAUCGAUAUGUGAAUACAUAGCAUAUCAGAAGGCACACCCGGAGAACUGAAACAUCUUAGUACCCGGAGGAAGAGAAAGAAAAUUCGAUUCCCUUAGUAGCGGCGAGCGAAACGGGAAGAGCCCAAACCAAAAAGCUUGCUUGUUGGGGUUGUAGGACACUCUAUACGGAGUUACAAAGGACGACAUUAGACGAAUCAUCUGGAAAGAUGAAUCAAAGAAGGUAAUAAUCCUGUAGUCGAAAAUGUUGUCUCUCUUGAGUGGAUCCUGAGUACGACGGAGCACGUGAAAUUCCGUCGGAAUCUGGGAGGACCAUCUCCUAAGGCUAAAUACUCUCUAGUGACCGAUAGUGAACCAGUACCGUGAGGGAAAGGUGAAAAGCACCCCGGAAGGAGAGUGAAAUAGAACCUGAAACCGUGUGCUUACAAGUAGUCAGAGCCCGUUAAUGGGUGAUGGCGUGCCUUUUGUAGAAUGAACCGGCGAGUUACGAUUUGAUGCAAGGUUAAGCAGUAAAUGUGGAGCCGUAGCGAAAGCGAGUCUGAAUAGGGCGUUUAGUAUUUGGUCGUAGACCCGAAACCAGGUGAUCUACCCUUGGUCAGGUUGAAGUUCAGGUAACACUGAAU
rnacentral:rRNA from 1 species